CACAAAGAAACCCUGCCUCAAUUAACCAA
rnacentral:piRNA from 1 species